GCGGACGUGGCGAAAUUGGCAGACGCGCCAGACUUAGGAUCUGGUGCCGCAAGGCGUGCGGGUUCAAGUCCCUCCGUCCGCACCA
rnacentral:tRNA from 1 species